CGGCAUGGAGUGGCGGACGGGUGAGUAACGCGUGGGCAACCUGCCCUGUACAGGGGGACAACACUUAGAAAUAGGUGCUAAUACCGCAUAACGGGGGAGCCGCAUGGCACCCCCUGAAAACUCCGGUGGUACAGGAUGGGCCCGCGUCUGAUUAGCUGGUUGGCAGGGUAACGGCCUACCAAGGCGACGAUCAGUAGCCGGCCUGAGAGGGCGGACGGCCACAUUGGGACUGAGACACGGCCAAACUCCUACGGAAGGCAGCAG
rnacentral:rRNA from 1 species